rnacentral:piRNA from 1 species
CGUGAUGACAACUGGGCCGAUGGGCUG